rnacentral:RNase_P_RNA from 1 species
UCAGUCGGCCGGACGGCCGCUUCGGUUCACGCCGGAGAGGAAAGUCCGGGCUCCAUGGAAAGCACGGCGCCGGAUAACGUCCGGCGGGGGCGACCCCAGGGAAAGUGCCACAGAAAGCAAACCGCCUCCGGCCCUCGGGCCGGCGGUAAGGGUGAAAGGGUGCGGUAAGAGCGCACCGCGCUGCCGGUAACGGGAGCGGCACGGCAAACCCCGCCGGGAGCAAAACCGAAUAGGGGCGACGCGUCUUCCGUCUUCGGGCGGAGGGCAGGCCCGCUUCCAGGCCGUCGCCCGGGUUGGUUGCUUGAGGCGUCCAGCGAUGGGCGUCCCAGAGGAAUGGCCGUCACGUGCGGCGGGAGGGGGCGACCCCUUGCGCCGCGCCAUACAGAACCCGGCUUACAGGCCGACUGACGCU